rnacentral:lncRNA from 1 species
UGGGAAACAGCCAUGGAAGAGGGUUUGGAGCUGGUAUUCCAUAUUUUGGCUUCAAGUAAGUUUAAUUCUUGCUUUUUCCUUGAAAUUUUUAUAUUUUUACUUUUACAAUUAGAUCCAACUUAGUAUUCUACUAGUUUCUCAUUUUGUUGAAAGUUUUGGAAGAAACCAAUGAUAAGUUCAUAUGAUUUUUGUUAUUUUAUGAUGAAAUUGAGAUGUUAAUGGAUGUUUAAAGGUGUUUUAUUAAAGAAUUUUGGAUGAAAACAUGUUUUAGGGAUUAAGUUGAAAAGUAUUGAAAUUGUGGAGAAAUUCUGAAAUUUCAUGGAAUCCAUGGGCUGUUAUUGAUAUGUAUGAGAACUAUUAGGGUUGGAUCAAGGAUUAAAUUGCAAGAAUUUCAUUUUCCGAGCCUAAGGAUGAAAUUGUCAUGUGUUAAAAGUUUAAGGUCAAAAUGGUAAUCAAAAUGUUGCACUAAAACAGUUUUGGGCAGCAGCAGUGUGCCAACUUUAAAAAAUCACCAAAAAUCGUGGGAAUCGAAUUAGAAUAUGAGUAAAAUAUGAAAUUAAAGUUUAUCGAGUCUAGUUUCUCAUAGAAGAAACGGUGUAAGUAAUGGAAUUGUAAAUCAUGAGAUAUAAUAAAUUUUGUGAGAUAGAGUCAGAAUAAUUUUGGAAUCCCCUGUUCUGACUUUGGAAAAUCAUUAAAAAUUGUAAAAAAUUAAUUAGGGGUUAAACCUUAUAUUUUUAGAAUCCUAAACGAGUAAAGUUUCAUUAUAAAUAAACGGGAAUACCAUCCGAAUUAUGUACAAUGAGAUAAUCAAUUUUUAGUGAAGAGAGGUCAGAACUGUCGAGCAGUGCAAUAGGGGAAACUUUAAAGAAUAAACUGUACUUAUUGGCUAAACCAAAAAUUCUAAAAAUUUUAUGUUAAGAAGAUAUGUGAGUCUAGUUUCAGGUAAAAUUGACGGAUCUUAAUUUGGAGCUCUGUAGAUCGAGAUAUAAAUAAAUUAGUGACUCUGACUCUGAUAGACAGCUUGAAUUUACAUACAGGAAAAUAGUGAUAGUAUGGAAAAUGUUGCUUAAAUGUAUUAUACACAUUAAGGAUGUGGAAUGGAGAGGAGGAGGAGAAAAAUUAGAGAAUAUAUAAAUUAUUUGUCUAUAAUUGGUCAUAUGUUCGAUUAUAAUUGAUAAACGAUGAAAUAGAAAUUAUACUUAUAUUUGUGCAUUAUUGGUCAUGAUUUAAGCUCAUGGGGAAAAUAAAGUUUUAUAGUAUGUGUGUAUGGUAUAUAUAUAUGUGUGUGUGGUAAUUUAGAUAUAUGGAUGUAUUUUGGUUGUGGAUUGAUCAUGAUGAUAAAGAUUAGGUAUAUUUGGUCUAUUAAGUGACAUAAUUGAGAAGUAUGAUAGGUGGGUCAUUCUAUGUGUGAGAUGAUGGUAUAAUUUGGCUUGGUUAAGUAAGUUAAAAGGAUGAUUACAUCAUUGAGGUUGUACUGAUUAAUCUGGUUUGUGUGAUAGAAAUAUCAAAUACAUUUGUCUUUGAUGCGUGAUAAUUAUUUAAUGCCAUGAGAAUUUGUUUUUUUGGUGAGGUUUAAAAUGUAUCUAUAUUUUGUUAUAUAAUUUGUUUUGUAAUUUAUUUGACAAAUGAUAAAAAUUAACUCAGUUAUUAUGUGAGGUGAAUUAUGAUUUGGGUAGCACAUCUAUAUUAUGCAAUAAUAGAUAAAAUAUAUUUAUGUCAUGUGUGAUUGGUUAAACACUUGGGCUAAUUUAAGGUGUAUACUGAGUAAGGGUAGUUGGUAAUGAAGUAACAUGUUUUGAUUUAACAUCGAAUAGAGAAAAUUUGUUCUAUCUUUGUGGCUAAUAUUGAUAGUUGUAUGGGAGAUGAAUGGAUAAUGUAUAUGUGACACUUAGUUUAUAAGAUAUUGAGUAAUUGAUAUAUUACAAUAGUUAAAUAGGAAAAUGUGACGACAUGAGAAUAUGUAAUGAUACGGAUCAAUUCAGGUACUCGUGAUAAAUUCAAUAAGUAAAUGGAAAUUUUUAAAUUCAUACGACGAGGAAAUGAAAGAUUGUGAGUAUAUUGGGCUAUGUAAACCCUAAUUAGCGAAUCAAGAAUAACAAUUUGAAAGUUUUAGUUUAGAUGAAAUUUUACAACUCGGUUUAAUAUGGUUAAAAGUGUAUAUGUUCUGGUGAUACCUCGUACCCUAUUCUGACAUCGAAUACGGGUAAGGGGUGUUACAACACUGGUAAUUGAAGUCGAUUAAUUGACUUUUUAUUUGUUAUGUUUCAUUAAUUAAGUUUUAUUAACUUUAUCAUGAAACAUCAUAAUUGUUGAAUGGAAAGGUAAAAUUUUUUUGAUUGUAGAACUAGUUUUAGCCUUUAGGGUGUUUUAUUCUAGUUUUUGGGGUUAAUUAAAAUUUAGUUUGAGUUAAAAUAAUUUGGGUUUAUGGUUUAACUUAUAUUAUAUAUUUUACAUAGUGUUAAUAUAUUUAAAAUAAAUAAAUAAAUAUAGAUAAAAACCAAUCAAGUCGAUGAAUUUGAUUAUAACUUUCAUCAUUUUAAUUCAAUCUUAAAUGGAUUUAUUCAAAAUAACUAACAAAUUCGAAUGUGUUAAUUAAGUUGGUUAGGUCAAUUUGGAUAGACUUUUACUCAUCGCAUUGGUGUUCUUUUUAAAGUUAUGUUAAUAUUACAUAUUUAUUGUAUCUCAAUUUAUUUUAGAUUUUACAUACUUUGUCAUGUUCACACUCGUGUUACAUAUCAAUCUUGAUAUAUUUUGAAUAAUUUGUUAAUAUUAUACAAUUUAGAUAAAAUUAAUAUUUUAUUUUCGUGUGAUCAAAGUGUUAUAAAUAUCAACAAAGGUUAGUUGUAAUGGUAGAAUACAUUACAUUCUUAAAGAUAGACAUAUAGUCAAAUAUUAGAGAUAAUGUUGCUGAAAUGAACUAUUUAGACCACAAAUAUGAACCUUAAAACCAACAUGGAAAAUAUAAAAAAAAAUAUUAUAAAUUCACACAAAUUUUUAUAUGUUAAUAAUUUAUUUUAUAUCUUGAAGACAAUCGUUUUAGAUAGAUUUUUAUUUUUAUUUUUGUGUAUUUGUAUUAUGUUUAUAUUGUUUUUCUUAUCAUGUUAUAAUUUAUUUUAUUUUAUUAUAUUAUUUUUAUGUCGUGCAUUUAUAAACUUGAAAAUUGAAUCAUUUUAUAUAUAAUGAGCAUGUUGAAAGAUUAGAUCUAGUUAGAUGAUGAUGAUGGAAUUAUGGAUUAAACAUCGAUUAUGAGUCUGCCUCCUGCUCUAAAUUUGUUGGGCUGUGAAUUAAAGGCCUACCAUCUCAAAACUAGUGAGGACAAGCCCACUAACAAAAUCUGGUUUUCGUAGGCAUUGUGUUUCAGAUAUGUUCAAGGUGUAAUUUAUUAUUUUCCAUAGUAAAAUUAAUUAUAUAAAUUUAAAAAUAUUAAAUAUGGGUUUUUCAUGUCAGCUUCACCGAACUCGAAUGGGUUUUAGAUAAAGAAUAGUUCAAACGUUUUUUGUUUUUAGAAUUUUAAUUAAAAACUAUUUUUGAAAGAUUUUAUAAUAGAGUAUAUCCACAAAUAUAAAUAUAUGCUUAGGACAAAAUUGGAAAGAAAUAAAAUAAAGGCUAUACACAUCAUGUAUACAUAUGAUAAGACUUAUUUGGACAUGAUUGUUCAAGGAAUAAGAACAUUCACCUCAAUCAACAAUGUGAUUAAUUAGAAAUUGUUUUUUAAGGUACGAUUAUAAGUAUUAUGUAUAACUAAUUAUUAGACUCCAUGCACAAAGGUAAUCAACACAUUUCCUGUAAGUACAAUUAAAAUUAAACAAUUACAAGCACAAUAGAUAAAAAUAAUAAUCUAAAUAUAUCUAAAUUUAAAUAAGUUACGUCAUGUAUGUAAUAAAAUUUAAAAUAUGAUAAAAUUUGAACUCAAAUCCUAUAAAUACGUAAAUAUAUAUUAAAACCUCAAACUAAUAAAUUUUUUUUUAUUCUGCUUUGCUCCUUUGAUGGUUGUUUUCAGGUGAUAUGGAUUUUAUUUUGUUGGAAAAAAAACUCGAACCUAUUAAUUUUAAUUCAAUUAAUUAAGUUUGUAAUUUAUAUUGGGAUUGAUUCUCCAAUUUUGGUUUACUAACCAAUUCAAUUGACGGAAUGCUCUCCUAGAUGUCAACAUAAACAGGGAGCUCCAUCUAUGGUGAAAAUCCUUUGAUGGACUUUUCAAGGAUUAUGCAAUUAAAUUCCAUCGAUAACAUUGUGAUAAUUCAAGAUUUUGCUAAUCUUAGUAACUAAGGUGAGAUAUGAUUUUUGAUUGGUUGAUUGUCAUUAUACAUACUUUCCAUCAAUAACUCAAUUUCUUUUUAUAUUAUAUAUGUUUGUUUUAGGGUAAAAUACUAAUAAAAGUUUUUUUUUAAUUACUGAAAUGGGCCAGGUAAAAAAUUAAUUACCGGAAUGGGCUUAUUUCUCCGAAAACGCGUCCACGUCAGCGCGUUGUCAAGUGACAAAGCAGGAAAACGCUUCCUCAAGGAAGCGCUUUUCCCGUGUCUCUGCGUUAGGGUUAGGGUUUUGGGUUUUGGAUUUAGGUUUAGAGUUUUAAAGAAAAAUUAAAUAAAUAAAGGAUUAGGGAUUAGGGUUUCUUAAUUAAAUUAAUUAUAAAAUUUUCAAAAUUAGAUUAGGGUUUUGUGUUUAUGGUUUUCAAGAAAAAAAUUAAUUAAAUUAGGGUUUAGGGUUACUUGAGUAAAUUAAUUAUAAAUUUUUUUAAAAAUCAGAUUAGGGUUUAGUGUAGAGGUGUCCAUGGCGGCCUGGCCCGACGGCCCGUCCGAAAUAUGUGAGGGUUUGGGUAAAAAUAUAGGCCCGAAAUAUGGGUUUGGGCAAAAAAUGAGGCCCAUUUAGAAAAUAGGCCGAGCCUCGGGCACUGUUUUUUAGGCCUGAGCCUGGCCCGGCUCGAAUAUAAUAAAAACAUAUUUUUUAAUUUUUAAUUUUUAAAAUAUUUUUAAAAUACUUUUUUUUAAUUUUUUUAUUUUUAAAAUAAUUUUUUGGUGUUUAUUAAAAAAUGGCCGGGCCGGGCUCGGGCUUAGGAAUUUUUUCCCGGGCCGGGCCUGGACAAAAUUUUAGGCCCAUAUUUUAGGCUCGGUCGAGCCCGGGCCUAGGACGAGGGUCGAAAUUUUUUCUGGGCCCGGCCCGGUCGAUGGACACCUCUAGUUUAGUGUUAAGGGUUUUUAAGGAAAAAUUAAAUAAAUUAGGGUUUAGAGUUACUUGAGUAAAUUAAUUAUAAAUUUUAAAAAAUAGAUUAGGGUUUAAGGUUUAGCAUUUUUAAGGAAAAACUAAAAUAAAUUAGGGUUUAGGGUUACUUAAUUAAAUUAUUUGUUAAUUUAAAAUAAAAGCUCUCAGGCCAUACAAGUAGAUCAUGUCCAAAUUGCAAUAUUUGAACGUUAUUGUAAAAAACUAUAUUGUAUUAUUUAUAUUUUUUAAAUGAAAUAAUAUAGAAAUACUCAAAAUAUUGCCUUAUUUAAAAGAAUUUAUAUUUUAUUAAAAAUAUUAAAGUAUAUUACAAUUACUUUAUUCAAAACAAUGUUUUAUUUUAUUAAAUGAAAUAAUAUAGAAAUAUUCAAAAUAUUGUCUUAUUUAAAAGAAUUUAUAUUUUAUUAAAAUAUAAAAGUAAAUUUCUAUAUUAUUACAUGAAAUAAUAUAAAAGAAUUUCUAUUUUAUUACAUGAAAUAAUAUAAAAAUAUUCAAAAUGUUUGUAUAAAUAUAUUAAAAUAAAAAUCGAUCUCCGUGCUUGCCGGAUUUAGUGCCACAUGGUGGUCGUUGACGGUUACGCGCUAGAUUCCUCCUUUGUCUAGCUUCUAGUGGGGGUUGUGGUUGCUCCUGGGGGAUUCUGGUUCCUCCAGUAGGGGAUCUGGUUGUCGAUGUUAGGAGGAUGACCCACAUUGAUAGAAUAGUGACUGUGGAGGUGUUUGCAUCACCGACGAUGAAGGUGUUUGAAACCUAUAAGGUGAUGGAGAUUGGUAAAAAGAAGAGCUCCCCGACGGUCCCUCGUGCGACGGUGGCCUAUAGAUCGGCAGUCCACUUGUUGUAAUCGAAAAUGGAGAUGAACCGGGCCAUUGACUCCCACCUGCCAUAGGACUAGAAAAAUGAAACACAUAAGGGUUAGGAUACAUAAAAGGGCUAGAAUACGCACCUGGCAUCAUCUGAAAAAGUUGUGUUGUGGGUGUCAUCGGUUGAAGUGUUAGGCUGGGUGACUGUGUCGGUGCUGUUGCUGGGCCUGGUGAUUGUGGGGGCGUUGUUGAUGGGCCUGCGUCGUCGUCCAUUCUUCUUGGAUUUAAAGGGCCACGUCGUUCCCUUUGGACACGCAAUUGCCCCUGCCUCUCCUCUUCCGACAGUAAAUACGGCUUGCCAUGGAUCCUAAACCAUGGCAUGUAUUCCGGCACGCACGCUAACUCUGGAACGAUGAUUGAUUCUCGAGUAGGUAUAUAAUCAUAUCGAUCUUCCCACAUUUGGAUAUAGUGUAACCAGAAUCUCAGCCAAUUCGUAUGCAAAUUGCCUAAGUCGAUUCUGUGAUGAUCAUCCAACACCUCAGGUGCCACGGGAAUCGGUUGUCGGAAUCCAAAUUGCCAUAAUACUCUGCCCGACUGGUGCAUCUCCACGAUUGCAAAGUUGACCAACGGGACUUUCACAUGCCAAACGUUCGGAUUUUGGAAGUAUUCAUCCGGAAUUACUGCCCGAAUUGCCGGAUCCUCGUAUGGUAUCCAUUGAAACUAUAUGAACAUGAUGGAAAUAUUAGUUAUAUACAUAAUACUAAAUACUAAAUACUAAAUACGAAUCGACUAUCUCAUUAUGUAUAUCUAUUUUAUUUAAUACUUACUUGUGCUUCUGACAUUUGGUCUAAUAGAAGUCGUAUAUCUUCAAAAGAGGUAAGUAAUCGAGCAUAACUUGCCGAAUGGUUCCACCUAAUUAAAUAAAUUUUUAGCAUACGAUUAUAUUUUAAAUCUAUGUAAUAAUUGUAAAAUCUAAUAUAAAAUUUUCCUCAUUAUGAGUGAGAAUGUAUAUGGGUGGUCCACUCGAUGACGUAAAAAUGGAAAGUGAAACCGUGCCCAUGAUUGCAAUAGUGAUAGGCAUCAUUCGAUUUUUACUUUAUUCGGUCGUGUCACCCUGCACAUCUCCCGAUACAAUGUUGCCAACACGGCAGACCUCCAACUAAAUUCACCAGCUGCUCUAAAAUCAACGAGUUUCAGUAGCCAUCUCAGAUGUACAAGGUUCCGUGACAAGUCCGGCAUCAGAUAACCUCCAAUUAUCUCAAGAAUGUAUGCCCGAGCAUAUCAGAUUCUUUCUAGUUCGGUAGAAUCAUCAUCCGGCUCCGAGGAUGUGUCUCGUAACCAGCCCAUCUCAAUCUGACCUCCGUUAAUAUUCUCCGGAAUAGCGCCCAACGUGAUAGUACACUCUCCACAUGGAAGAUGAAAUGUGUGCGUCUUGGGUCUCCACCUCUCUAUAAACGCACUAAUGAGUUUCGGGUCCAACUUGCAUCCUCGGCCUACCGUCGCCACGUGCCAAAAACCCGCUUCCCGCAGGUAAUGUGAUGGAGGACCAUGCAUAUUACGGAUAUAGCAUUGCAAUAUCCGAUCUACAGACUUUUAUAAGAAAUAAUAAAAUAAAAAUUAUUUAAAAUUGCAUAAAUGAAAAAAUCUUAAAUAAUAUUUAAAAAUUAAAUUUAACACUUACCAUUUUCAUUUGUUCGAAGGAUAUGUGCUUGUUAUCGAGACGAAUUAAUUCUCCAGCCAUUGCUAACACGAUCAAAUUUUUAUGAUUUAAAAAAAUUCCAAAAAAAUAAAAUUAGAGCUUUUUUUAAAAUAAUUAAAGAGAGCUUUAAGAGGAAUUUGAGAGGAAUUUGAGAGGAAUUUGAGAGAAAUAUGAGAGAAUAUUGGAGAGAAAUAUGAGAGAAUUUGAGAGAAAGGAUUU